rnacentral:lncRNA from 13 species
AUGUUGAACUUGCUGUCCCAGAUAGGAAAACAGAAGCAUAAAGCUGGGAAACGACUGGACCAAGGUCAUACUACUCACUGCAGCUGCAAUCCUGCCACUGAAAUAAAAGCGAGAGAUAGACACAUGCAAACACACAGACAGGAAGAGCGAGUGGCAGGAAGCUCUGCUUGUUCUAUCUUUAAAAUGCGUCCUGACUCUUCCAGAAGAAACUGAC